GAAAGGUAGCAAACAAAGGCAACCUCAAGCCUAGACACCACGUCUACGCUAUCGAUUACUACUCUAGCUUCAACUAGACUCCGUCUUAGAUUCAAGUCCUUAAUCAAGAGCACCCGUUACAAGAUGGACGAUGAACCCAUAAGAGAAUAAUGACAAAAGUGUAACCUUACCAAGAACUCACCACCCUAGAUGAACCCGGAUACUUACUCAAAGGAUACGUAUCCACUAAGCUACAAGUAGAGGGAGGUCAACAAGUCAGACUCUCCUCUUGAA
rnacentral:lncRNA from 1 species